CCUACGGGGUGCAGCAGUGAGGAAUAUUGGUCAAUGGGCGCGAGCCUGAACCAGCCAAGUAGCGUGAAGGAUGACUGCCCUACGGGUUGUAAACUUCUUUUAUAAAGGAAUAAAGUGAGGCACGCGUGCCUUUUUGUAUGUACUUUAUGAAUAAGGAUCGGCUAACUCCGGGCCAGCAGCCGGCGUAAUUCGGAGGAUCCGAGCGUUAUCCGGAUUUAUUGGGUUUAAAGGGAGCUUUGAGGGGUGUUUAAGUCAGUUGUGAAAAUUUGGGGCACAACCGUAAAAUUGCAAUUGAUACUGGCAGUCGUGAGUAGAGUUGAGGUAGGCGGAAUUCGUGGUGUAGCGGUGAAAUGCAUAGAUAUCACGAAGAACUCCGAUUGCGAAGGCAGCUUACUAAACUGCCACUGACAUUGAUGCUCGAAAGUGUGGGUAUCAAACAGGAUUAGAUACCCGGGUAGUC
rnacentral:rRNA from 1 species